UACAAUGUUUCGCCUAGAUUGCCUAUAG
rnacentral:sRNA from 1 species